UGUUGGUGAGGUAACGGCUCACCAAGGCGACGACGGGUAGCCGGCCUGAGAGGGUGACCGGCCACACUGGGACUGAGACACGGCCCAGACUCCUACGGGAGGCAGCAGUGGGGAAUAUUGCACAAUGGGCGCAAGCCUGAUGCAGCAACGCCGCGUGAGGGACGACGGCCUUCGGGUUGUAAACCUCUUUUAGUAGGGAAGAAGCGAAAGUGACGGUACCUGCAGAAAAAGCACCGGCUAACUACGUGCCAGCAGCCGCGGUAAUACGUAGGGUGCAAGCGUUGUCCGGAAUUAUUGGGCGUAAAGAGCUCGUAGGCGGUCUGUCGCGUCUGCUGUGAAAACCCGAGGCUCAACCUCGGGCCUGCAGUGGGUACGGGCAGACUAGAGUGCGGUAGGGGAGAUUGGAAUUCCUGGUGUAGCGGUGGAAUGCGCAGAUAUCAGGAGGAACACCGAUGGCGAAGGCAGAUCUCUGGGCCGUAACUGACGCUGAGGAGCGAAAGCGUGGGGAGCGAACAGGAUUAGAUACCCUGGUAGUCCACGCCGUAAACGUUGGGCGCUAGAUGUGGGGACCAUUCCACGGUUUCCGUGUCGCAGCUAACGCAUUAAGCGCCCCGCCUGGGGAGUACGGCUAGAGGAUCCCC
rnacentral:rRNA from 1 species